GUAAGGAAUAUUGCUCAAUGGGAGAAAUCCUGAAGCAGCAACGCCGCGUGGAGGAUGAAGGGUCUAUGACUUGUAAACUCCUGUAAAGAAGGAAAAAAUUCCCAUUAGAUGGGCGAUGAUGGUACUUCUGGAGUAAGCCCCGGCUAACUACGUGCCAGCAGCCGCGGUACUACGUAGGGGGCAAGCGUUGUCCGGUUUUCCUGGGUGUAAAGGGUGCUCAGGCGGAUUUGUAAGUCAGAGGUGAAAUCUUACAGCUUAACUGUGAAACUGCCUUGGAUACUGCAAGCCUAGAGUAUGGAAGAGAGUGAUGGAAUAUCUGGUGUAGCAGUGAAAUGCGUAGAUAUCAGAUAGAACACCAAUGGCGAAGGCAGUCACUUGGUCCAUUACUGACGCUAAAGCACGAAAGCGUGGGUAGCAAACA
rnacentral:rRNA from 1 species